rnacentral:rRNA from 1 species
UACGUAGGGGGCGAGCGUUGUCCGGAUUUACUGGGCGUAAAGCGCACGCAGGCGGUCUGCUAAGUUUGGAGUGACAGUUGGUGGCUUAACUGCCAAAGUGCUUCGAAAACUGACAGACUUGAGGGCUUCAGAGGGACGCGGAAUUCCGGGUGGAGUGGUGAAAUGCGUAGAGAUCCGGAGGAACACCAAAGGCGAAGGCAGUGUCCUGGGGAGUACCUGACGCUCAGGUGCGAAAGCCAGGGGAGCGAACGGG